AAAAUCAUGCUUAUCAUUUGUUUCUCUAAUUACUAUUGCAUGAUUCAAUGAUUCUACAAAGAAAAUCGUUAAAGAAGAGAAUCAUGCUUGUUAGUUGUUAAUUUUUGUGAUUUACUA
rnacentral:sRNA from 1 species